GAACGCUAGCUACAGGCUUAACACAUGCUAAGGUCGGUAGGGGUUUUUGAUUAGAAGCUUGUCUUUUGAUUAGAAACCGACCGGCGCACGGGUGAGUAACGCGUAUCCAACCUGCCUCUCAUAUUGGGAUAGCCUUUCGAAAGAGAGAUUAAUACCGAAUAACAUAUUGAGUUUGCAUGAAAUCAAUAUGAAAGCUCCGGCGAUGAGAGAUGGGCAUGCGGUGCAUUAGCUAGUUGGUGAGGUAACGGCUCACCAAGGCGACGAUGCAUAGGGGUUCUGAGAGGAAGGUCCCCCACACUGGUACUGAGACACGGACCAGACUCCUACGGGAGGCAGCAGUGAGGAAUAUUGGUCAAUGGGGGAAACCCUGAUCCAGCGACGCCGCGUGAGUGAAGAAGUAUUUCGGUAUGUAAAGCUCUAUCAGCAGGGAAGAAAAUGACGGUACCUGACUAAGAAGCUCCGGCUAAAUACGUG
rnacentral:rRNA from 1 species